AGCUGUGCCCUAGCAGCGGGAACAGUACUGCAGUGGGUGAUCCGUAUUCUGGAGUAUUGUUUCUGCUGCCCGGGUAAGGCUGG
rnacentral:pre_miRNA from 1 species